UCUGGUUGAUCCUGCCAGUAGUUAUAUGCUUGUCUCAAAGAUUAAGCCAUGCAUGUCUAAGUACACACGAAUUAAAAGUGAAACCGCAAAAGGCUCAUUAUAUCAGUUAUGGUUCCUUAGAUCGUUAACAGUUACUUGGAUAACUGUGGUAAUUCUAGAGCUAAUACAUGCAAUUAAAACAUGAACCUUAUGGAACAUGUGCUUUUAUUAGGCUAAAACCAAGCGAUCGCAAGAUCGUUAUAUUGGUUGAACUCUAGAUAACAUGCAGAUCGUAUGGUCUUGUACCGACGACAGAUCUUUCAAAUGUCUGCCCUAUCAACUUUUGAUGGUAGUAUCUAGGACUACCAUGGUUGCAACGGGUAACGGGGAAUCAGGGUUCGAUUCCGGAGAGGGAGCCUGAGAAACGGCUACCACAUCUAAGGAAGGCAGCAGGCGCGUAAAUUACCCACUCCCAGCUCGGGGAGGUAGUGACGAAAAAUAACAAUACAGGACUCAUAUCCGAGGCCCUGUAAUUGGAAUGAGUACACUUUAAAUCCUUUAACAAGGACCAAUUGGAGGGCAAGUCUGGUGCCAGCAGCCGCGGUAAUUCCAGCUCCAAUAGCGUAUAUUAAAGUUGUUGCGGUUAAAACGUUCGUAGUUGAACUUGUGCUUCAUACGGGUAGUACAACUUACAAUUGUGGUUAGUACUAUACCUUUAUGUAUGUAAGCGUAUUACCGGUGGAGUUCUUACAUGUGCUUAGAUACUUGUAUUUUUUCAUAUGUUCCUCCUAUUUAAAAACCUGCAUUAGUGCUCUUAAACGAGUGUUAUUGUGGGCCGGUACAAUUACUUUGAACAAAUUAGAGUGCUUAAAGCAGGCUUCAAAUGCCUGAAUAUUCUGUGCAUGGGAUAAUGAAAUAAGACCUCUGUUCUGCUUUCAUUGGUUUUCAGAUCAAGAGGUAAUGAUUAAUAGAAGCAGUUUGGGGGCAUUAGUAUUACGACGCGAGAGGUGAAAUUCUUGGACCGUCGUAAGACUAACUUAAGCGAAAGCAUUUGCCAAAGAUGUUUUCAUUAAUCAAGAACGAAAGUUAGAGGUUCGAAGGCGAUCAGAUACCGCCCUA
rnacentral:rRNA from 1 species